rnacentral:rRNA from 1 species
UACGUAGGGGGCAAGCGUUGUCCGGAAUCAUUGGGCGUAAAGAGCGUGUAGGCGGCCCGAUAAGUCCGCCGUGAAAGUCCAGGGCUCAACCCUGGAAUGCCGGUGGAAACUGUCGGGCUCGAGUCCGGAAGAGGCGAGUGGAAUUCCUGGUGUAGCGGUGAAAUGCGCAGAUAUCAGGAGGAACACCAAUGGCGAAGGCAGCUCGCUGGGACGGUACUGACGCUGAGGCGCGAAAGCGUGGGGAGCGAACAGG